UCCGGCCUACGGGGGGCAGCAGUAGGGAAUCUUCCACAAUGGGCGCAAGCCUGAUGGAGCAACACCGCGUGAGUGAAGAAGGGUUUCGGCUCGUAAAGCUCUGUUGUUGGAGAAGAAUGUGCGCGAGAGUAACUGUUCACGCAGUGACGGUAUCCAACCAGAAAGUCACGGCUAACUACGUGCCAGCAGCCGCGGUAAUACGUAGGUGGCAAGCGUUAUCCGGAUUUAUUGGGUGUAAAGGGUGCGGAGACGGAAGAACAAGUUGGUUGUGAAAUCCCUCGGCUCAACUGAGGAACUGCAACCAA
rnacentral:rRNA from 1 species